UAUCAAUAAGCGGAGGAAAAGAAACUAACGAGGAUUCCCCUAGUAACUGCGAGUGAAGCGGGAAAAGCUCAAAUUUAAAAUCUGGCGGUCUUUGGCCGUCCGAGUUGUAGCCUGGAGAAGCGUCUUCUACGCCGGACCGUGUACAAGUCCCUUGGAACGGGGCGUCAUAGAGGGUGAGAAUCCCGUCCAUGACACGGACCGCCGGCGGUUUGUGAUGCGCUCUCGAAGAGUCGAGUUGUUUGGGAAUGCAGCUCAAAAUGGGUGGUAAAUUCCAUCUAAAGCUAAAUACUGGCGAGAGACCGAUAGCGAACAAGUACCGUGAGGGAAAGAUGAAAAGCACUUUGGAAAGAGAGUUAAACAGUACGUGAAAUUGCUGAAAGGGAAACGCUUGAAGUCAGUCGCGACGGCCGGGGCUCAGCCUUGCAUUCGUUUGCUCGGUUUACUUCCCGGUCGACGGGCCAGCGUCGAUUUUGACCGUCGGAAAAGGGUCAGAGGAAAGUGGCACCUCCGGGUGUGUUAUAGCCUUUGGUCGCAUACGGCGGUCGGGAUCGAGGAACGCAGCACGCCUUUAUGGCCGGGGCACUCGUUGCCCAAGUAUCGUGCUUAGGAUGCUGGCGUAAUGGCUUUAAACGGCCCGUCUUGAAACACGGACCAAGGAGUCUAACGUGCCUG
rnacentral:rRNA from 1 species